rnacentral:lncRNA from 11 species
CAAAGAAACCCUUCCAAACAAUGGAAGUUGUGAAUUGUCUGAGAUGGCUGCUAAAGUCUGUCUGAUGGUGCAAUACACAACCCAGUCACUUCCUACUCUUCGUGACCUCAUGGACCAGCCCAUGCCAGAAACCCCUGUCAGUCGUCACCACCCCCCGC